GACGAACGCUGGCGGCGUGCCUAAUACAUGCAAGUAGAACGCUGACUACUUUAGCUUGCUAGAGUAGAAGGAGUUGCGAACGGGUGAGUAACGCGUAGGUAACCUGCCUACUAGCGGGGGAUAACUAUUGGAAACGAUAGCUAAUACCGCAUAACAGUGUUUAACACAUGUUAGAUGCUUGAAAGAUGCAAUUGCAUCACUAGUAGAUGGACCUGCGUUGUAUUAGCUAGUUGGUGGGGUAACGGCCCACCAAGGCGACGAUACAUAGCCGACCUGAGAGGGUGGCCGGCCACAUUGGGACUGAGACACGGCCCAG
rnacentral:rRNA from 1 species